rnacentral:rRNA from 1 species
UUGAGUCAGGAGCCGUCACAGGUGCUGCAUGGCUGUCGGUCAGCUCGUGCCGUGAGGUGUAUGGUUAAGUCCUGCAACGAGCGCAACCCUCGUCGCUAGUUGAUUUCUCUAGCGAGACUGCCCCGCAAACGGGAGGAAGGUGGGGAUGACGUCAAGUCAGCAUGGCCUUUAUAUCUUGGGCUACACACACGCUACAAUGGAUGGCACAAUAGGUUGCAACAGCGCGAGCUGAAGCUAAUCCCCAAAGCCAUCCUCAGUACAGAUUGCAGGCUGAAACCCGCCUGCAUGAAGUCGGAGUUGCUAGUAACCGCAAAUCAGCAUGUUGCGGUGAAUACGUUCUCGGGCCUU